rnacentral:rRNA from 1 species
CCUACGGGAGGCAGCAGUGAGGAAUAUUGCUCAAUGGGCGCAAGCCUGAAGCAGCGACGCCGCGUGGAUGAAGAAGGUUUUCGGACUGUAAAAUCCUUUUCUGUGUGACGAGAGUGGACGGUAGCACAGGAAUAAGUCUCGGCUAACUACGUGCCAGCAGCCGCGGUAAAACGUAGGAGGCAAGCGUUAUCCGGAGUUACUGGGCGUAAAGCGCGUGUAGGUGGAUUGGUAAGUUACUUAUGAAAGCUCCUGGCUAAACUAGGAGAGGUUGAGUGAUACUGCCAGUCUUGAAUAGAGGAGAGGUUGACGGAAUUCCGCGUGUAGUGGUGAAAUGCGUAGAGAUGCGGAAGAACACCAGUGGCGAAGGCGGUCAACUGGCCUCAUAUUGACACUCAGACGCGAAGGCAUGGGUAGCGAACGGGAUUAGAUACCCGGGUAGU